GAAGAUAUUGAGUGGAGAGUGGGAAAUUCAAGCUUCUAUUGGCCUUGCCACAAUGGUGGAAUGCUUCAAGAUGUGCAAACUGAACUGCCCACCCUUUCCUGUGGUGUCAAGUUUGGCCUGUCCAGGAGGAGGGAGGAGCUCAAAAUUCUGAACCAGACGUCCAAUUGUGAUACCAAGAAUUGGCAGAGCAAGAAUGAUUCCAGGGCAGCUUCUUCUUCCAACACCGAACGGGAGGUACCUGAAGUCAUUGCCAUUGGCCUCAACCUUGGACUCCUCC
rnacentral:lncRNA from 1 species